GCUGGGUCCGGGUGAAAGGGCGGCGACGGCACUGGGUGGGGCCGAGCUCCAGGGCUGGCUGCUGGGCUGCUAAGGGAAUUGUGAGCCGCUCGGAUCCGCGCGCCUCCCGGGCGGGGCGGGGCCGGCCGUGGGAGUCCGCGCGUGCCCGCUUCGAGCUGCCUGCUCUGGCGGCUUCGCUGCUAGCUCGCGGCGACGUCGGGCCGGUUUUUCCAGGAUGACAGAGCUGAGGCAGAGGGUGGCCCAUGAGCCGGAUGCGCCACCCGAGGACAAGAUGGAAGAACUGGUGGGUGAGAGGCAUCCUGACUUUGGCCAUGAUUGCAUUUUUCUUCAUCAUCAUUUACCUGGGACCAAUGGUUUUGAUGAUAAUCGUGAUGUGCGUUCAGAUUAAGUGUUUCCAUGAGAUAAUCACUAUUGGCUACAACGUCUACCACUCGUAUGAUCUGCCCUGGUUCAGGACCCUCAGCUGGUACUUUCUCCUGUGUGUAAACUAUUUCUUCUAUGGUGAGACAGUGACGGAUUACUUCUUCACCCUGGUCCAGAGAGAAGAGCCUUUGCGGAUUCUCAGUAAAUACCACCGGUUCAUUUCCUUUACUCUCUAUCUAAUAGGAUUCUGCAUGUUUGUACUGAGUCUGGUCAAGAAGCAUUAUCGACUGCAGUUCUACAUGUUUGGCUGGACCCAUGUGACAUUGCUGAUUGUUGUAACACAGUCACAUCUUGUUAUCCACAACCUAUUUGAAGGAAUGAUCUGGUGAGAAUUGGGAGUUGGAUUUUCCCUUUUAUUUU
rnacentral:sRNA from 1 species